GACGAACGCUGGCGGCGUGCUUAACACAUGCAAGUCAAGGGGGCCCAGCAAUGGGCAACCGGCGAACGGGUGCGUAACACGUGAGCAAUCUACCGAAGUGUGGGGGAUAGCCGGCCUAACGGCCGAGUAAUACCGCAUACGAUUCCGAAGAGGCAUUUCUUUGGAAUGAAACCCUACGGGGUACUUCGAGGGGCUCGCGGCCUAUCAGCUAGUUGGUGAGGUAACGGCUCACCAAGGCAACGACGGGUAGCUGGUCUGAGAGGAUGGCCAGCCACAUUGGGACUGAGAAACGGCCCAGACUCCUACGGGAGGCAGCAGUGGGGAAUCUUGCGCAAUGGCCUAACGGCUGACGCAGCGACGCCGCGUGAGGGAUGAAGCUCUUCGGAGUGUAAACCUCUGUUGCCCGGGA
rnacentral:rRNA from 1 species